rnacentral:rRNA from 1 species
UGAGCAAUCUGCCCUUCUCAUCGGAAUAAGCGUUGGAAACGACGUCUAAUGCCGAAUAGGACCUCCUUUCGCAUGAUCGGAGGUGGAAAGCUCCGGCGGAGAAGGAUGAGCUCGCGGCCUAUCAGCUAGUUGGUGUGGGUAACGGCCUACCAAGGCGACGACGGGUAGCCGGCCUGAGAGGGCGUCCGGCCACACUGGGACUGAGACACGGCCCAGACUCCGUACGGGA